UUACGACCAUAUCACGUUGAUACACCGGUUCUCGUCCGAUCAUCGAAGUUAAGCAACGUCGAGCCUGUUCAUUACCUAGAUGAGCGACCGCUUGGGAAC